rnacentral:rRNA from 1 species
GACGGAGGGCGCUAGCGUUGUUCGGAAUCACUGGGCGUAAAGGGCGCGUAGGCGGCCAUGUAAGUCGGGGGUGAAAGCCCGGGGCUCAACCCCGGAACGGCCUUCGAGACUGCGUGGCUGGAGACCGGAAGAGGAGGGUGGAAUACCCAGUGUAGAGGUGAAAUUCGUAGAUAUUGGGUGGAACACCAGUGGCGAAAGUAGCUCUCUUGUCCGGCUCUUACUCUGGGGCACGACAGCCUGGGGAGUAAACAGG